CGACUUCUACAGACUUUGGAGUUGCCACUGGAGUUGGAAUGGCAACUGGGAUCACCAACAUAAUUUCAGGGAGAAGCCAACCUACAGGAAGUAAAACAGGCUACACUGUAACAGGCUCUGGAACAACAGCCUUACCUGGAGGUUUCAGAACAGAGGCCACAACUUUUAAAGGUGAUGUUGGAACCACUGAAGCAGAAAUUUCAUCAGGCAAUACCCCAGGAUCAACGGGAGUCACCAGCAGCCAAGAAGGAACCACUGUGGUAUCAAGUGGAAUCACUGGAAUCCCAGAAACUUCCAUCUCAGGUCCUUCCAAGGAAGCAUCUGACAAAACCACUGCUCCUGGACCU
rnacentral:sRNA from 1 species